GGGCGGCUAGCUCAGCUGGUCCGAGCACCUAGUUUACACCGAGGGGGUCGGGGGUUCGAACCCCUCGCCGCCCACCA
rnacentral:tRNA from 1 species